UACGUAGGGGGGCAAGCGUUGUCCGGAAUCAUUGGGCGUAAAGCGCGUGUAGGCGGCCCGGUAAGUCCGCUGUGAAAGUCGGGGGCUCAACCCUCGAAAGCCGGUGGAUACUGUCGGGCUCGAGUACGGGAGAGGCGAGUGGAAUUCCUGGUGUAGCGGUGAAAUGCGCAGAUAUCAGGAGGAACACCGGUGGCGAAGGCGGACGCCUGGGUCCG
rnacentral:rRNA from 1 species